CCGAGCGGACGAGGGGGGGAAUGGCUUUAAGCUAAAAGAGGUCUGUGUCGUUGUUAAGGUGGUCUAUAGUAAGUAAAGUUUGGCUGCGUUUCGCCACAAAGUCGCGCUCGUUGGGGCAGCGUACCAGCAGCUCAGCAGGAUUUCCUCUGAACAUCUGUAGAGGAGUGAAAGGAUUUGAAAACUGCAUUCUAGAGAAAUUUGGGUAGAUUCUGUUACACGGAGCAAUGCUGAAAUUUCAAGAAACUGCUAAGCAUGUCAGCAUUUCCAGCUCUAAUUCUGCUUGCUCAGAUGCUGCUAUCGCAAGGAGAUACACUAUUCAGAGGAAACUUGGCAACGGGAGCUUUGGAAGCGUGUAUCUGGUUUCUGACAAGAAAGCAAAACAAGGAGAUGAAUUAAAGGUUCUGAAGGAACUCUCUAUUGGAGACCUAAAGCCUAAUGAAACAGUUGAAGCAAAUCUGGAAGCACAACUACUCUCCAAAUUAGACCAUCCAGCCAUUGUCAAAUUUUAUGCAAGCUUUGUGGAGCGAGAUAGUUUCUGCAUUAUCACUGAGUACUGUGAGGGUGGAGAUCUAGACUAUAAAAUUCAAGAGUACAAAGAAUCUGGGAAAUUAUUCACACAAAGACAAAUAAUAGAGUGGUUUAUACAGUUGUUACUUGGAGUCAACUAUAUGCAUGAAAGGAGAAUACUUCACAGAGACUUGAAAACCAAGAACAUAUUUUUGAAGAAUAAUCUUCUUAAAAUUGGGGACUUUGGAGUUUCUUGUCUUUUGAUGGGUUCUUGUGAUCUGGCAACAACAUUUACCGGGACGCCAUACUACAUGAGUCCAGAGGCACUGAAACACCAAGGAUAUAACACAAAAUCUGAUAUUUGGUCUCUGGGAUGCAUUUUAUAUGAGAUGUGCUGCCUGAACCAUGCAUUUUCUGGACACAAUUUUUUGUCUGUUGUGCUAAAAAUUGUAGAAGGUGAUACACCUUCUCUUCCUGAUAGAUAUCCAAGCAAUCUGAAUGCUGUGCUGAGCAGCAUGUUAAAUAAGAAUCCUUCACUGAGACCAGCAGCAGGAGAGAUCCUAAAAAUCCCUUAUAUUGAUGAGCAGCUAAAGAAUAUACAGUACAAUUUCACAUGUAUGACUGCAAAAGACAAGGGGCUUAACUGGCAGAAAGGAGGUGCUCCCAUUUCUGAUGCUGUGCUGAGGAAAGUUCAUUUGCAAACGCUGCAGCAACUGUCUGAAGUACAGAAAAUGACACCACGGGAACGAAUGAGGCUGAGGAAGUUAAAUGCUGCAGAUGAGAAAGCCAAGAAGUUGAAACAGCUGGCAGAAGAAAAAUAUCAAGAGAAUGUCAAAAGAAUGCAAGAAUUCAGGUCCCGUAAUUUUCAGAAGCUGAAUGUCAAUGUCCUACAUGAAUCCGACAUCCAGAUUUCAGAACCCCUCACUGAUUCUCAGCCGGUCAUGACGUGUGACUCCACAUCCAUAGGAUGUGAUGAACCAAAUGGAAAUGAGAGAUGGAGUCAAUUUACGGACCAUGAAAUCCCUGAAGACCCGCAAAUUGCAGAAGAAUAUUAUAAGGAGGAGUUUGAAUCCUAUUCAGAAGACAGCGAAACAGAGGAUGUGGAAGUGUCACAGACUGUAACAAAGACAAAUCAGGACAGUGAUAUUGAAGCAAUGGUCAAGCAUUUGGAGAGCAUCCUAAAUAAUAGCUCAUUGGGUUCGGCAACUGUCACCAGCAUGGCUCCAGGGGUGCCCCAGGGAUUCAGAGCCCUCAACAACACUAUGGCUGAGACCAAGUUGAACCGCAUGAGGGAAUCUGCCAUCCAGAAGCUGGGAGGAGAGGUAUUUGAGAAGGUAUACACCUAUCUGAAGCAGGCGAGACAGCACAAGACCAGUGAGGAAGAGAUAACGAGACACCUGGAGAAACUGGUUCCUAGAGCAAGUGAUUGCUUUGAGGUGGAUCAGCUCCUCUACUUUGAGGAGCAGCUACAAGAUUCAGAAUCGUAUGUUCAGCUGUAAGAUGUGCAGGUAACAGUUUGGGCUGAGCUGCCUGCUUCAGGCCAGUCAACAAAUCCUGGAGGAGUCUGGAGGAAACUGCUGAGGCUAACUCAGAACAUGCACAGUAGGCAGGCUGUUGGAGAGUCCAGUCUGUGCAGUGAGCAGUGGGUAAGUACAGUAUAGAUUACAAGGGUAGGAAGGAAAACUUACAGAAGGGAGAGUUUAUAAUUAUCGGUGUUCCUUUCACUGCUUAGGGCAUAACGGAAGAGUUCUCUUGGACACUAGCCAGUGGCAAAGCUGCCACUGAAGGCAAUGGUGCAGGAUUAGGCUCCAGCUGUUGUUUAUUCCUGCACUGACUGGCCCUUGUGGCAUUUAAGCACAUCUAUUUUGUACCAUGGCAGAAUACAAAUGUAUAUGGCUAUUCCGCCACAAAUUGUCUUGUUGCCAUUCGUUGUCUAAAGAACUGCAUUUAAUUUGUGUGUCUUUCAAAGGAACUGUGAAAAUAUAGAUCACAUAAUCAGGGAAUGGCUUGGGUUGGAAAGGACGUUAAAGGUCAUCAAGCCCCAACCCAUGCCAUGGGCAUAGCACAGUCACUUCCCACCAGACCAAGCUGCCCAGAGCCCUGUCGUACCUGCUCUUGAAUGUUUCCAGGCAUGGUGCAUCCACAGCUUCUAUGGGCAGCCUGUGCCGGGCCUCACUGCCCUCUGAGUGAGUUUUAUUUCUAAUAUCUAAUUUAAGUCUCCCCUCUUUCAGUUUAAAACCAUUCCCCCUUGUCCUGUCACUAUCUGACCAUGCAGAGUUGGACUCUCUCCUGUUUAUAAGGUUUUUUUUAGUACUGGAAGGCCAUAGUGAGUUAUACUCUCAGCCUUUCUUCUCUGGACUGAACAAGCCCAGCUGCCUCAGCCUUUCUUCAUAAGAGAGGUGCUCCAACCCUCUGAUCCUCUUCAUUGCCCUUCAUACACUCCAGCAGCGUCCUUCUUGUGCUGGGGUACCCAGACCUGGAUGUAAUACUUGGGCAAAGCAGAAGGGGACAAUCCCCUCCCGCUCCCUGCUGGCCACCCCUCUUUGGAUACAGUCCAGGAUACUGUUGGCCUUCUGGGCUGCAAUUGCACACUGUUGUCUCAUGUCAGGCAUGUGUAUAUUCAUCCACGCUUACUCACAUACAUAGAAAUAAGUAUAUAUAUGCAUAGAGAUGGGAAAACAUUUGGCCACAUUGUUGUACAUGUUUAAGUUUACAGAGACAGAGAGAUGAGGCCAGAGCUGUAGAUGACUGUGACAGCUAGGAAUUCUUAUUACAGAUUCUCAAAGUUUUUUAUCACUGUACACAGAACAAUAAAUCAAUUUUCUUUUGCUUGCACACAGAUAAUGGUAUUUUUUUUCAUAUCAUUUAUGUUUCCCUCUUCAUAUGCAUCACUCUUUUGCUGAUUGGAAGUGCAUAUUAUGCUGUGAUAAUAUACUUGUGCAUUCUGAGCUCCUUUGCCUACCUGUGGAACAGUAACAGAUAACAAGUAAUACAAUCUAUAGAAGAAUCUCAAGUGAAUUGUGGAACAGUUUAGUUUUAGCCAUCUAGCCAUUAUCAAAAGCCCUGUGUACUCUGUUUUUUGCCAUAACUCUUCAAGUGCUCAAGAGCUGAAUUAGAUGAAUGAAAGUAAAUUCAUAAUGUGAACUUCAAAAAAAUGUUGCUACUUGACUUGGACUAAAACUAAGGAUACUGGGAUUGACAGUAAAGUAAGGACAAGAACUGAUUCAUCUUUGUGAUGUGCAUGAAGAGAUUCAAAGGGAACAGCAAUUGAUCAUCCUUAUCCAUACCAGCAGUAACACAACCUGCAGAAGAAAAGUGCAUACCCAUCUAAGGAAGAUGUGGCCUUUUACUGCCAGCCCAAAGUAGGAGAUCCUGGUAUGUCUGACUUCAGCUUCUGCUGGGAGUACAUGAAUGUGAAGUGAUAUUCACUGAGGUUGCAAAACUGUUUUUGUCUGUGUGAUGUUUCAUGUCUCAUAGGCAGAGAGAUAGUUUGAAGCACAGAUUCUCAGCCAGACUUCAGUCCCCAUUCUUCUCAAUGCUAUAUUUGUGUCCUUGAUUCCUUGUGUUUUAUACAUAACUUCAAUUAAGGCCACUUAAAUAUCAAAAUAAGAGGAGUGCUUGGAUGUGAAUAAUAUCAGAGAGAUACAACCUUGACUACUACACCCACCUCUGGCUGUGAUUCAGACUGCUUUUUCACAAAAGCUUGAAAACCAAACUCUGUAGCCAUCAAUUGCUUUUAGGCAUGUUUUAUUUGUAUUAAUUUUCAUAUUUGAUUACUCACAAAGCACUCAAACUCUCUGCUUAAUACAUGGAGUGUUUUGAAUACCAUGCUUGCUAAUGUGUUGCAAUGUAAUAGAAUUAUUAAUAUCUGUUUGUGCAAAAUGUAAUGUAUGUAUGGGAGCUGUUUCACAGCCUGAAGCACUGAUUGAUCACCUGAGGCAAGCACUGAGUCAGCCAUGGAGCACAGGUGAAGGCGAUUCAGCUGUGUGAUGGAAGGGGUGGAGCUUGGCUGCACCUCUCCUAGACCCCAUUUAAGGGCUGACUGCCACUGGGGAAGGAUCUCUUUCUGGAGACUCCUCAUCUGUGGACUCUUUCCUGCAAACCUAGAUCUUCAGAUACAGGUGAGCAUUCCUUCCUUUGUUGUUUCUUUUCCUAUUUUCACCACGAUAAUCUUUCCAGUUGUAACACCAACUGUAACACAUACGUAAUAACUAUAUGCACACUUGAAAAGAGUCUUGAAGUCAGUUUGAAGUUGUUGUUUUUGUAGGUUUUUUUUUUAUACUCUUGAAAAGUUUUCAAACCUGAAGACUUAAACAGUAAUUAACAUCUGCAGUGUGCUCAUCUACCACAAGUACUAGCAACGUUCUGAAUCCAAAUACCUAAAUAAGGUAAUCAAGAAAUGGGAAAAAAAAAUCAACAAAAUGACUGUCUCCCAAUAAACCCCUGCCCUUUCCAGGUCACAUCCAUUCCAAAGUUCUCAGCAAACUGUUGAAUUUACAUCAUCCAGAUAGGGGCCAACUCUCAGAGGCAGGUCCAGCCCUGCUAUAACUUUAUACAACUUACUGAAAUUGCCUUCUGUUUUUCUGACUCUUGAACUCUUAGGGAGGGAUAUGCAUCAGUUCAGCUCCAUUCUGAAGCUUGUUAAACCUGUUCCAUACCUGGGUUUUAGGCUGUCUUCACUUAAGGGCCUUUGAGUCCUCUCCUGCACUGUGUAGUUAGUAGCUAUCAGUGGCCAUCUGGUGUGUUAUCCCCAUCACUGCAGAAAUGGGUUUAUUGUGCUUGCUGCAGAAAAGGGCUUAUGUUGAAGAAAAGACUGAGUCCCUGCCUUUUAUAUAUGAAAUGCACUCCAUACACUGAGGUGGAUUUAUUUCUUGUCCACAUCAAAAUGCAGAGACUGCUCCAUUCAUCAGGUCCAUGGCAUACAAAGGAGAUGUUUCUUCUAUCCUAGCAAGGAAAACUGAGAAUCAGAAGCAUUCAGCAAGCAAACAGGAACAGAUGCCUGAAAGAUCUCGUAUCAGCAGAUACAGUAUCAAUAAACCAGUAAGUGGCAAAUGACAGCACUGACAUCUUUCCUAUACGUACUGAAAUACAAGCCCAGCCAAUGAUGACAUCUGACUCUAAGAACGAGUUCAGAAAGGCUCCACUGGGGGCUGGGACAUGAUGAACAUAUGACAGAACAAUGAUAAUAAGCAUCGUGCCCCUUGCCCACAACAAACUUCUCUUCAGAAUAGACAGAUGUCAAUUUGACUCAAUUGGUUUUUAAAAAGAGCUUUGUAAUGCAUAUCUGUCUAUCUCUCUUUCUCUUCUUUAAGUGUAUGUAAACACACAUAAGCAGAUACAAAUGUCUAUUUCUGUCCUCAGGGUGGAAUGGCUUGUAGGUAAAAUACCUGUAAACGAAGCCUCCUCCCAACAGUCCCAAGUAUGCACUGCAGAUGCUGUUGCAAAGGACAGAAGCAUCAGCACCAUUCACCUUGUGUUUUCUUGUCCUUGUAUUCAAGAAAAAAUCUCCCUAUAAUUAGAAAGCAGAAUUAGUACUGAAACAAUUUUCACAUCACUGGUCCUUCAGCCUCCUCAGAUAUUAUUUGUGGUAUCUGCUUUCAUGCAAGAGGAUGGGACCAAAUAAAAGCAAUCACAAGGAUGGAAAUGUUCUCAGCAGGAGGAAAAGGGAUUAUAAAAAAGCAGAGGAAAAUGACUUCUGAAUGUUUUGUAGUCCUGAGCAUCCAUAUGCCAUUUGAGCUAUGUAGAGUGUUAACGGAUAGAUCUAAAAAUAAAGAAUACAUUAUUUAUUAACUUAUCAGAGCUUUUAGAAAAUAGGAGCUGAAUUCACUUAGCUAAUAAGCUACCUCAGAUCACAUCCAUUGGAAGAUAUAUUCACAUGAAUUGGAUGAGGUGUGCAUUUGGUCUUCAUGAGGCCACUUAGGAACCUAAAGUUACUUUUUUCUUCUAGGAAAAAUACACGGAAUAGUUCCAUUUUCGAAUAUUUUAUGAAGUCUAUAUGCUAUUCUAUAUCUGCCCCUUUCCAUGCUCCUCCCUACAUAAGUUUGUGUAAUUCCAGUUUUAUUUCAGAACAAGAUUUGUUUGUAAUCUGAAGGAUGUGAUAUCACAGAGCAGAUUAAAGAAAGAAAAUAUGCUGUUGAGAACAUAGCAUGAAGGCUAUUUACUGGGGGGUCUCAUGAUCUUCCAGCCCUUUAUGAUGAGCAGAACAAGCCAGUGAAUGUACCAGGAUGUAAAGAGUUUACAGUCUUGACAGCCUGGACCUGCUCUCUCAGACCACAUUCCCACACAGCCUGCAUUUAUAUUCAUGUCUCUGUCUAGCUAUGCUGAAUGGAAGGAGAUUAGCAACGUGGGCUAGAGUGCUGUCAUGGUGUCUUGUGCUGCGGUCAGAUGUCUUUUGCAGUCCAAGGAAAGAGCUUUACGGGUUCCUGGAGAGGCCUGGUGUGUCUCCACACUGCUCUGAAGGAUAUAGGCCAGGUUCAGAAGCAAGGCACGGGUCUUGAAUAUUUUCAUAAUUUUUGCAUUAACUAGCAAAGUGAGAACUACUCUUAUUAAAAGUCAUUUCAUCCACAUACAUGGAGGCUACAUCAAAGGCAACAGGAGAUGAGGACUUCAGAGUCUAUGCUGCCUUUUCUGGGCUGUUAGGCUGGAUAAUCCUGGAAAAGGCUUCCCUUUAGUCCAAGGCAAACUCAGAGUAGGAGCCCAGGCCUAGUCUUCCACAGGUACUGAGUAAAGCUCUGCUCUUACCCUUCUCCCAUGCUCCAGCCAUUCAUUUCCCUGACCUGGUGACAAUCAUCCCUGCUCUGCACACCUGGGCCAACUCAGGAUCAACCACUCGCAUGGAGAUGAAGGGCAGAGAAGGAGAAAGGACGUAUCAGAAUUAUGGAGAUCACCUUCUGCAAAGGGAAAAAUCCUUGAUGAAGAAGAAAGGCCAUAAACUACAUAAAAGUUUAUUUAGUGACUAAGGAGGAAGAGAAAAAACAUAUAUAUUCUCUACAGCUCUUACUUUCAAUACAUGCAUUGCAUAUUAUUUAUUUACAUAAUUAUCCAUUGGUAUAGCUUUUUUUACAACUUCACUUGGAAAACUAUGCUGUGCCUUGGCCUAAGCAUCCAGUCUGAAUGCAGAAGUGCCAUCUGGGUGCCUAGAAAUAAUUUCUGAUGCCAUUGGUCAAUUUUAAUUGUAUUUGACAGGCUGAAGUUUGAGAGAGGAAGUUUCUUCCAGUUAUUUCAAGCAAACAGUGGGUAGGUACAACAAACACCAGUGGCUGUUCCAGGCUGAAAGCUAAACUCAGCCUUGGAGAAAAGGAGAGGGCUUUACCUCUUAGUGUAGGCUUUAUGUUUUUUGUGAUGCAUAGAAUUACUUAUUGUAUGAUUUGCUUUCAUUAAAUUUUUUCCAGAUGUCCAGAGACUGUAGCAUGCAACGUAAUUGAAAGAACAACCAUUACCUGUGUUUUAAAAAUAAAUCCUUCAAAAAAAUUGGGUUUUGUUUUGAACUCCAAGGUUUUAUUUUUCACAUUCAAAGAUUAAAAAAAAAACCAAAAAAACAAAAAAACACACUUUUUUUCUUGUUCUACCUAUAACAUUAUAUUCCUUCUCAGUUUUGAAAAGGUCAUAUCACCUGAUGUAAUAAUUGCAUGCAGCUGUUAUGUAAUUGUUCCUCAUGUUUCUAUAAAAGGCAGUAAUUGGAAGAGUUUCUUGAAUGUUAUUAUGCAGCAGGUGCCUCCUGGGGACAACAACAAUAGCUAUUCAUCUGGAGGCAACAGUUCCCAUAGGGAGCUUAGGGUUGCCUGUGGGAGACGCCAUGGACCUGGGAAAUUAUGUUCCCCAUCUCCUUGCCGUGCAGACAACAGCAGAGCGUGGGUAGAUGAGCUUUGCCAGCUCCAUCUGUCCCACAGGCUGGGUGAGUCAGCUUGGGAAGCAGCAUGCAUGUGCACACGAUGUCCCUCUUGCCAGGACCAGGAGCAAGGGUUCCACCAGCUAGAGCCUGCAGCCAGCAUCAUUCAGUUCUUCUUUCAUAUCACCCUGGGACCCAAAUUUUCCUGGGACCCUGGGUGGGGGAAGAAUGAAAGAUGUGGGGCUCUCCAUCCCUGCUUCCUAGAAGAUUCACGUUGGGAAUAACUAGCAAUACGUGACCUUCCUUUGCGUGUCCUGCCACCGACUGCAAAACCCACUUUUCAAGCCCACAGUACUGUAGUUCAGUCUUCUCCCUCCAGAUUUACUUAGGAGUGAUGAAGUAACACCUACUAUUUACAUAUCACACUUAGAUUAGAUUCAGAUUUCAAGGCCAGGCUGGAUGGGGCUUUGAGCAACCUGAUCUAGAGGGAUGUAUCUCUGCCUAUAGCAGAAGGGUUGGAAUGAGAUGAGACUUCAGACCUGUACUUUAACAGUCAGUGUUCAUGAGUGUCUGUUCCGAUGGGCUGUAGAGCAGCAUGGUAUUUUUCCUCCAGAUGACUGAAUUGGGUUGCACUGACUUCCAUCACCCAAAGGCUAGCAUGAACAAGGUAACUGAUUUAUACAGGAGCUCCCAAGAGAGUAAAUACCAAAAUAAGUCAUCUGAGGAACUUUCCUGCACCAGAGAACAACCUAAUGCUAACUGCGAUGCCAGAGUAAAUUGCAGCAGUCAUCUGUUACAUUUCAUCCAGCCAUUCUGCUCAGUUUAAUUAACCUUUCGGGAAUUAGCAUUUUGUGGACUUAGGAUACCUGCUCUGAAUUUCUGGCAGCCAUAGCAGCUCCAUCACAGCUGCAGAGUGACUUGUCUCAGUCAGAACGAGGUGAUACCCAGCAGUGCCUUUAAGGACAGGUCUCUGAGCAGCAGGAGGAACCAUGGGCAGCACAGAGGGGUUGAGGCAGCCUGUACCUCUGCACGGGCUGCUCCAUGCCCCACCACUCAGAAACUGUUCAUUUCCCACCUCUGUGGGCUGCAGGUUCUUCACUCCUUGCAAAGUCUCCUGGGCACACUUUGUCCUCGUUCACCACUUUGCACUUACUUACAGCCAUUUCCAAGCACCUUUUUAAAGUUGGCAGCUGCUCUGCCCACACUUACCAAUCAAAGACUUGUAUUGUGCCUCUGAAAAACCAUGAGGCAACAAGCCUGCUGCUCACAAGAAAUAGUGCCCGUCACAGGGGAGCACAGCCCACACAGGUGCCCACCGCUGUGCCGUAGGCUGCACCUACCCAUGUUCCUAUAUUCCCACCCUUAUAUCCUGCCUACUGCUUGAGCAAGGCAUUGAAAUAUCCAAGAAAGCAUCUGGCCAGGAAUGAAACAAUCUUGGCUAAGCAAAAUGUGCUUGCAGCUAUCCAAGAGUCAUUUUGGCCUUGGGGUGCAAUACUGCCCAGAUUCCUUGUGUUAUGCUGUUGGAAAUACCUCCACUGAAGGUGCUUCCAGUCCUUCUGAACAUGGCCAUGCUGCCACUCUCUCCCUCUCACCUUUUUUGCCCUACCUAUUUUUCUGUGCCUUUUCCCCUCUUUGCUCGCCUCAGGGUGGCACCUUAGGAAUCUCCAAAAGAGAGUCUGACCUUACUGGGAGAGGAUUGUUUCUCCUGACAUUGUCUUAGCUAAUCUUGUACCAUUAAUCAGUCUCAGACUGUUCUCCAUGUUAAGCAGAUCCUCACUUGCUCUCUUGGGGGCUGAACCCCAUCUCUCUGGGCCUCUCCUUUCCUCCCAUGUGCUGAGAACCAGGCAAGGCAGUGUAGGAGCACCCAAUGCUCUCUGCAACAAAGCAACUUUGACCUCCUACCAUCCACUCCAUGGCAGAUUUUCUCCCUGCCUCUGAGAACAGAAAAAAAAUAA